CUUUUUUUGUUGUAAACUUCAUGUAGGUGUAAGUCUGACCAUUUUUUAUCCCCAUAAUGCAACACACACUUUGAAAGGCACAGACUUGACAAAAGUGAUCCGCUUGAAGGCGGAUAACUAAGGCCUAGGGGAGGUGAACAGUGAUGCAUGUUGGGUAGUGUAGCUCUCUGACCUCUCCCCAUCGUCCUCCAGUCCCUGCUAGAUGACUACGGCCUGCGGGAGGUGACCAGUGCAGCGGAGGCGGUGAAGCAGGCGGUGGAUCAGGGGCAGUACCUGAAGGCCACAGAGCUCUGGUCUGUCACUGAGAGUGUCGUGAACAGAACACAAACGGAGUCAACUUCUACAACAUCCUCACCCAGGAACCUGAUGAGAAGAUGUCCUCCUGCCUGGAGAAGGAUACCUCUCCCUGCUGAUGCGGCACCACAUUAGCCCCUCUCACCGCCAAUCACUGAGCCAGUUGAUGACGGGCCAAUCAGGAAGAAGCUGGGAAUCAUCCCUCAGAACGUCACCUGGGGAGGUCAGGCUGAGGCAG